AUACGAGGGGUGCAAGCGUUGUUCGGAAUUACUGGGCGUAAAGGGAGCGUAGGCGGAGAUUCAAGCGGAUUGUACAAUCCCGGGGCCCAACCCCGGCUCUGCAGUCCGAACUGGAUCUCUUGGAUAGUUCAGGGGCAGGCGGAAUUCCUGGUGUAGCGGGGGAAUGCGUAGAGAUCAGGAAGAACACCGAUGGCGAAGGCAGCCUGCUGGGGACUUAUCGACGCUGAGGCUCGAAAGUGCGGGUAGCAAACAGGAUUAGAUACCCUGGUAGUCCGCACCGUAAACGAUGCAUACUGGGUGUCCGGGGGUUCCCCCGGGUACCGUAGCCAACGCGUUAAGUAUGCCGCCUGGGGAGUACGUACGCAAGUAUGAAACUCAAAUGAAUGGGCGGGG
rnacentral:rRNA from 1 species